rnacentral:rRNA from 1 species
GUGGAGCAUGUGGCUUAAUUUGACUCAACGCGGGGAAUCUUACUAGGUCCGGACCGAUUCUAUGAUCGUCGUACUGUGGGGUGCUACGUGAUUACUGGAUGAGUGGUGCAUGGCCGUUCUUAGUUCGUGGUGUUAAUUGUCUACUUAAUUGUCAUCAGUUUAAUACAUGUAUUGAACUAUGAACGAACGAGAUCGAGACCCGUGGUUGCGUAUGUUUGAAUUCGGUAUUACUACGGGGAUCGCGUAACACUCCACGGUACGAUCGAAAGACUCGGCAAUAACAGGUCUGUGAUGCCCUCAGAUGUUCUAGGCUGCACACGUGCUACAGUGUGGCGUUGUAUCGUGUGUGUAUGCAGAGAACUGAUAAGAUCCCCCGCACCGAGUCAUAAUUGGUCACACGGUUGGACUCACCGAUUGUCAAUUAUUCGGUAUACUAA